CUGCCGUUUAGGACCUACUUUCUUGUAGUGGCUAUGCUUCUCCCAAAAAAUUAUAUUUCCACCUGUAUGACCUUUACACGUUUUGUUUUUUUACACCCGUUGAUAAUUACAAUAUUAUUUUGUAUCAUUGUAUUAUCAUUUCAGACUCUUCCUCUGAAAACUCAAGCAGGCAUUCCAAUAAAUAGCUGCGUCGUUACUAAUCUG